GCGAGAGUGGCGGAAUUGGCAGACGCACCGGACUUAGGAUCCGGCUCCGCAAGGAAUAAGGAGUUCAAGUUCUCCUCUCUCGCACCA
rnacentral:tRNA from 1 species